rnacentral:rRNA from 1 species
AGAGUUUGAUCCUGGCUCAGGAUGAACGCUGGCGGCGUGCCUAACACAUGCAAGUCGAGCGAUUUUCUUCGGAAGAGAGCGGCGGACGGGUGAGUAACGCGUGGGUAACCUGCCUCAUACACAUGGAUAACAUACCGAAAGGUAUGCUAAUACAAGAUGAUAUAAGAGAUUCGCAUGGAUUUCUUAUCAAAGCUCCGGCGGUAUGAGAUGGACCCGCGUCUGAUUAGCUAGUUGGUAAGGUAACAGCUUACCAAGGCGACGAUCAGUAGCCGACCUGAGAGGGUGAUCGGCCACAUUGGAACUGAGACACGGUCCAAACUCCUACGGGAGGCAGCAGUGGGGAAUAUUGCACAAUGGGCGAAAGCCUGAUGCAGCAACGCCGCGUGAGCGAUGAAGGCCUUCGGGUCGUAAAGCUCUGUCCUCAAGGAAGAUAAUGACGGUACUUGAGGAGGAAGCCCCGGCUAACUACGUGCCAGCAGCCGCGGUAAUACGUAGGGGGCUAGCGUUAUCCGGAUUUACUGGGCGUAAAGGGUGCGUAGGUGGUUUCUUAAGUCAGGAGUGAAAGGCUACGGCUCAACCGUAGUAAGCUCUUGAAACUGGGAAACUUGAGUGCAGGAGAGGAAAGUGGAAUUCCUAGUGUAGCGGUGAAAUGCGUAGAUAUUAGGAGGAACACCAGUAGCGAAGGCGGCUUUCUGGACUGUAACUGACACUGAGGCACGAAAGCGUGGGGAGCAAACAGGAUUAGAUACCCUGGUAGUCCACGCCGUAAACGAUGAGUACUAGGUGUCGGGGGUUACCCCCCUCGGUGCCGCAGCU